rnacentral:rRNA from 1 species
CAGCCGCCGCGGUAAUACGUAGGGUGCAAGCGUUAAUCGGAAUUACUGGGCGUAAAGCGUGCGCAGGCGGUUUGUUAAGACAGAUGUGAAAUCCCCGGGCUUAACCUGGGAACUGCAUUUGUGACUGGCAAGCUAGAGUAUGGCAGAGGGGGGUGGAAUUCCGCGUGUAGCAGUGAAAUGCGUAGAUAUGCGGAGGAACACCGAUGGCGAAGGCAGCCCCCUGGGCCAAUACUGACGCUCAUGCACGAAAGCGUGGGGAGCAAACAGGAUUAGAUACCCCGGUAGUCCCUGUCUCUUAUAC